rnacentral:rRNA from 1 species
UACGUAGGCAGCGAGCGUUGUUCGGAAUUACUGGGCGUAAAGAGUGCGUAGGCGGUGUUCUAAGUCUGGUGUGAAAUCUCCCGGCUCAACUGGGAGGGUGCGCCGGAAACUAGGAUGCUAGAGGGUGGGAGAGGUAAGCGGAAUUCCUGGUGUAGCGGUGAAAUGCGUAGAUAUCAGGAGGAACACCGGUGGCGAAGGCGGCCUUCUGGACGGAUACUGACGCUGAGACGCGAAAGCGUGGGGAGCAAACAGG